UCGCUCCUCGUCGUCGACUUUCCGUGCCGGUUCUCUCUCUCCGUCUGUCGCACCGACCUCUGUGUCGCCGCACUUGCGCCGCGGCGAGUGGAGGGCAAAGUGGGCGUAGGUAGCUAGAUGCGGCUAGGUAGCCACGGCUCAAAGAGAAGCGCGCCGACCGCCGGAGAAACGGUGGCGGCCGGUGGUGGAAAGGGCACACACGUGAAGAGCACCGCCGCGCGGCACGGCCACGGCGAAAAGAUCCGUGGCUCGACCGAGGGGAGGCCGCCGCGUCAUCGUCACCGAUGCCAGGUUCUGCCGCGAGUUCCCGCGCGCGCCAAAGAGUAAUUUCGUUAAUGAGAAUCGUUAGGGCACCGGGGUAUGGCGCCGAGGAUUUUCACAGUGGCGCCCCGUUUAAUCUUCGCCGCGAUCCACGGAAACGGUCACCGACGCGCCGCCCUUGGUUUCCACGCUGCUCGUUCGUUGGCUAAUGCGGGGUCAAGCGCUGUUCGAACGCGGCCGAAACCGUGGUUAUGGAACCACCGAUACGGAUCGGAGAAACGUUAUUGGAAUACAAUUGCGCCGAACAAGCUGCUGUGUUUCGAUAUCUUGUUGUAACCUUUCCAGUUGUGCCGACGAGAGAAAUGUUUGGAGGUUGGAAUUGAAACUGGGCAGAUCCGAGAAUAUUAAGUCGCGGAUUCUUCGAGCCUCGCGGCACGUUUUUUAUGGAAACUCGAGGCAGUUGAUAAGAAAGGACAGCGCCCAGCAUGCCGGUGUACGUUGAUAUGAAUUAUAUACAUAGUGAUGCUGGAAUAAUAACGGUGGUAAAAGGGCCAGACUAUUACGUAAUGACUAAAAUACUUCUCUCUAAUUUUGCUAUUACUUGGGAUGAUAAAAAAAAGAAAUAAAAAGCUCAAGAUUUCGAACUUUCUCGUAAGAGCCUAUAAGGAAAGUUUGGACAAAUGCGUUUUGCAAAUCUCGGUGACUUCUAUGCGUACCGAACGUUUUUGUCGAAAUCGAAUAUUUUUUUUGAAGAAGUAUACCUCGCGAUGCUAUCGACGAAAAACUUCUUCGACAACCAUUCAACGAUGAAAUCAGAACGACGGGAAAGCACCCAAUCCGAAUCGAAUUUAAUAAUAAUAAUAAUAAUAUAUUAUAUAAUUAAUUCAACGCACUUUCCGCGGGGAGUUAUCGUAAAAGCGACUAACUGCUCGUUAGAAUUGCUCGACGUGGGAAUCUCUUAGAACCCAAGCUCGGAUGUUGAAGCCGCGUUGUUCUAUUCGCACGGACCGAUUCAAACGGAAUCAGCUUGAAUCGAUGGCCUCGCACAGGGUGGCGCACGACGGUUUCCACGCACGCGAAUACACUACACGGCGGCUGGUAUUAAACGCCGCGGAAAGCUAUUAAAAUCGUGAAAGUCUAAGGAGGUACUCACUGUGGAACCUUGUCCCUCUCGUCGACAGGAUCUGAUGCAGUCGCUGGAGAGUGUCUUUGGUGGCUUCCUCGUGCUUGUUACGCGCCCUCUCCUGCAAUCUCACCUCCAUGUCCGCGGAGCAACAGACCUCUCCGCCGCUCCUCACGCUGCCGCAUAUUUUCAGUUCCUUUGCUGGAAAAACGAAUGGAAAACGAGAUUAAAACGAGCUCGACGCUCGGCGCCCGCUUCGGUUCUCUCCGCUUCGCUACCUCGCGAGGGAAAAAUCAACCUUUGAACGUUUCCACGGCCGAGAACCUCAACGAUCUCCUCCUCCUCCUCCUCGCGUUUUCUUCUCUUUCCUUGGGACAAGUAUAAUACCAACUUUCUUCCCCCACCCCUCCACCCUCGCCGCCGCGAUGCGGUUUUUUUUGCUGCUCUCGUCGUUAAGUCGCUUCUCCUUAUUGUUGCGUUGCUUUGCGCUCGAAUGGGAAAUGCGGCUAUUGAUUAUCGACGGUAUUAUCGAUAAUAAUAAUGAACAGAUGAUAAAUCGCUAUAGUAAUAAUAGCGUUUACGCGUUCUACGAAUUUUUAGUAGAAUAGGAGAUCGUAUCCCACGAAACAUUUUUCUCCGUUAACAGAAAUAAUAUGACGAAAUAUUUUGGUGCAUGUAAAUGCAACGAGAGAAGCGAUUUAACAAAUUCGUUAUUAAUAUUAUAACUGUCGCAAUUAACACGCUGGAAGAAAUGGAUAAAAACAUAUAAGAACUGAAA